rnacentral:rRNA from 1 species
UACGGGGGGGGCAAGCGUUGUUCGGAAUUACUGGGCGUAAAGGGCUCGUAGGCGGCCAACUAAGUCAUACGUGAAAUCCCUCGGCUUAACCGGGAAACUGCGUCUGAUACUGGAUGGCUUGAGUUCGGGAGAGGGAUGCGGAAUUCCAGGUGUAGCGGUGAAAUGCGUAGAUAUCUGGAGGAACACCGGUGGCGAAGGCGGCAUCCUGGACCGAUACUGACGCUGAGGAGCGAAAGCCAGGGGAGCAAACGGG